rnacentral:rRNA from 1 species
GACGAACGCUGGCGGCGUGCCUAAUACAUGCAAGUAGAACGCUGAAGAGAGGAGCUUGCUCUUCUUGGAUGAGUUGCGAACGGGUGAGUAACGCGUAGGUAACCUGCCUGGUAGCGGGGGAUAACUAUUGGAAACGAUAGCUAAUACCGCAUGAUUUUAAUUGUCGCAUGAUAAUUAAUUGAAAGAUGCAAUUGCAUCACUACCAGAUGGACCUGCGUUGUAUUAGCUAGUUGGUGAGGUAACGGCUCACCAAGGCGACGAUACAUAGCCGACCUGAGAGGGUGAUCGGCCACACUGGGACUGAGACACGGCCCAGACUCCUACGGGAGGCAGCAGUAGGGAAUCUUCGGCAAUGGGGGGAACCCUGACCGAGCAACGCCGCGUGAGUGAAGAAGGUUUUCGGAUCGUAAAGCUCUGUUGUAAGAGAAGAACGGGUGUGAGAGUGGAAAGUUCACACUGAGACGGUAUCUACCAGAAA